rnacentral:rRNA from 1 species
CACGUAGGCGGCCUGUUAAGUGUGGAGUGAAAUCCCACGGCUCACCCGUGGAACUGCUUCGCAUACUGGCAAGCUCGAGGACGGUAGGGGAGAGCGGAACUCUUGGUGGAGCGGCGAAAUGCGUAGAUAUCAAGAGGAACACCGAUGGCGAAGGCAGCUCUCUGGUCCGUUUCUGACGCUGAGGUGCGAAAGCUAGGGUAGCGAACG